GACCUCCUGCGGAUUCCGCUUUCAGCAGCUAGAGCAGAGCCGGAGGUUCCACAGGGAAGGGACAGGAGUCAGAUGCGGGGGUCAUGCCGUGUACCCUGGCGCAGAGGGCGGCUUUGCGGGGCCCCGUGUCCCUUUCUGUUGUUUCUGUUGUUUGUGGUACCGGGGAUCGAACUCAGGACCUUGUGCCACUGAGCCACCUCCCCAGCCAGAGGCCCCGCGGCAGGACAAUGUUCUCCAGCCGCUCGGCGCCCACGGGCUCUGCUCGGGUCCCUGCUCUCUCCUGCCCACGAGGAAGCCAGGGCGGGGGGCGCCACACGCACGAGGAGCGCGCGGAGCCGCAGACGGAACCAGGCGCGGGCUGAGCUCGUCGGGGACAAGCCAGGCCCUCACUGAGGCUCCCGGGGCGCGGGACCCCGGGCCCCGCCUGAGUGGGGCGAGGCUGCGUGGCGGUGGGAAGGCGCGGGCUCUCCUGGCUUCCUUAGCGCCUUCGCUCUGCGCAGCCAGGGGUCUAAGGCCCUCGGCGUCCACGGCUCCGUGGCUGCAGCCAGAUCCAGACGGAAAGUACUGGAGAGAGAACCGCCGGGGCACUGCGCGGGCACUGCUUCGCGCGCUGCCGGCCCGCGGGGCCCACCCGGCUCGAGGUCGGCGGCGCGGCCGGAGCGGAGCGGCUCGGGAAUCCCGCCGAGUACCGGCCCCACGCGCCCGCUACGGUGACAAAGGGCUGGUGCAGCCCUCAGCAGCGGCUCCCACCGGGAGCCCAGGGCCGAUCCCGUCGUUGGAGUCUGCUUAUCCCUGGAGUCCCAAGGUCAGACGGGCAAGACCCACGGCCUCGGGGACUUCACCUUUGCAGUAGCUCCGAGAGUAGCCGGUAGGGGGCAACAUUGCUCGCAUUCUUUCUCCACUCCUGCCAAUUUCUUUUCCUCCACUAAGGUUUGAACCCAGGGCCUUUACCCUGAACUACAUCGCCAGCUCUUUAAAAAAUACAUUUUGAAACAGCCACAUCACCAAAUUAUUGAGACUGAGCUUGAACGUGAGACUCUCCUGCCUCGGCUUCCCAGAGCGGGGGCAUUACAGGCCUUCACCCAAAAUGUCCCAAAGCGGGAGGUGGGGAGGAAUCGAAUGGGCAGAAAGUGGGCUGCCAGAUGCCAGGACCUAGCGCUCAGGAAUCGCUGCCGCCAUGCGAGUGACCACGAGGCGGCGGUAGCACUUAGGCGAGGGCUGCGCGUGCACCCACAGGCAGGAAGCAGAGCCGCAGCCUCCUGCCGCACUAUUUUCGCAAGCGACAGCAGCGCGAUGCACGUCUGGAAAUCCCACUCAGCCGGUGUAAACGCACGUGUCGUGUGCGUUGUGUUCAAAGCAGAGGCCGCAGGGUUCGGGGACAGUCUCUAGUCCCGAGAUCGCAGGGAGAGGGUCGAAGCAAUUUCCUCCUCGCCGCUGCUGAAGACCUGCGUGGCUCUGCCUGUUUCCGCUGGUUGCGGUGCAAAUGCGGCCAUGCUGAGCCUGGGUGGGGGACGUCCGAGCCGGAAGCCUGCAGCCCUCUGACUUUCACUGGCACCCGGAGAGGGUCUUCCAGGCAGUGGGAGGCCAGACACCCCGGGCUUUUGGUUGGGGAAAAUCGGGAAGACGAAAUAAGGAGCUCCCGUAGGACGUGCACAGUGCGGUUCUCAGGACACAGAGUCCUGCCAGGGUCUCAUCCAGCGUGUGCUCUCCAGGUGAGGAAACUGAACCCUGAAAUCUGCAGCGGAGUAAUGUGGGUGUGGGUAGAGACCAUGGACCCACAGCUCUGCUGAACCCCACUUGGCUUCUAGCACCUUCUCACCCGCAGCGCGUCAGGAACCCCGCUGUCUCCUGUUGACUUCAAGACAGCGUCAAGGCCAAGGCCGAGCUGCCUUCCGGACUGGUCCGGGAAAACCUCUGUGCCACACGGGAGGUACCGUACUACUGGGCGUGAGGAGUGCGGUGUUCUACAAAUUCCCUCAGCUCCCCCUACUGACUGACAGCCAGGCGGUGCCACGUGGCCUGGGGACCUCCUGGGGUGCCUCAGUGCCUCUGGGAACCCCAUCCCCACCCCAGCGAGCCCAGGGAGGCUCGGUGCAGGGCUCAGGCUGCUAGGCCGAACUGCAUCCAGCCGGUGGACACAGCCAACAGCCAGGAUUCGAGGGUACAGGCAUCAGAACGGCUGGUGGGGUGACAUCACUCAGUCACCCCAGUAACCCACUGGCAGAAGUUUCUUUCUGUGCUCACUACCAAACACUGUGUGCCCUUGAGGGAGGAUGGAUGUGUCUGUUGGGGACACAGCAGGGAAACAGCUGUGACCCCAGAAAUUCCCCAUCCAGUUGGUGGAGGCCUGGAUAGAACAGAUAAAUAAGGAACCGUGAAUCUGCUAUGUGCUCGAUUGGGGACCCCAGCCUCUUCUGUCCUCACCGUGGAGUCUGGUCUGGGAGCUUUGGACUCAGCCAGGACACACACCAGGCCCCUGGUCUGGGCCCGGCAACAUCUCUGACUCUCCUAGGCCUCCCCAUCAGCCAGUGUCUGUCAGAAAUACCUUCCCCUGGAUCCCCAGAAUCCAGGAGCUAUGUCCCUGGAGAACCCCAAAUCUCACUAGCCUCAUAGGUUUGCUGUGGAUGAGAUGACACACACCCUUCUACAUCCGUGCAGCUUCUUAGGGGCCUGAGUUCCGCAGAGCAGCCUCAUCAGCAUGCAAACUCAGUGCCACAGAGGCUGACCGCUUUACAGAUAAUCUGGCACUGACUUUAGCAUUUGCAUCUUGGAGUUUGUCGUGCGGUAGAUGUCGCCAGAGGCCUGGAGCCCAGGGCAGGAGAGCAGGCUGUUUCCUGGAGCGGGAAGGACUUGGCUGGCUGCCUUUGGAUGCCACCGUGCUUGUGCUUAUCUUGCCCCCAUAUUUAGAUCUUUGGCUGAUCUGCGGCUCCGUUUGGCAAUCCCUGAUCAGCUGCAUGUCUCUACCCCACUUUUCUCAUCUGUACAGUAAGAGAUUCACGUCAACCAGUGCCCACACUGAGCCCCCGUGAGCACCGUCACGUGGAAAUGUGUGUGCAGGGGUGCAGUGGGAGCAGAAGAGAGCAACACUCACCGAAGUGGAUGCGAGAUGCGCCCUGGAGUCAGCAGUGCAGCCUGGUGCACCCUCCUGCAGCGGUGAAUGCGGUGUGGGCUCUGCUGCGGUCACAGCUGGAGACCCACGAUCCUCCCGCCCCUGCCUCAAAGCCCGGCUCUCCAGUGGAUGCCCCGGGCAAUCCACACAGGCCUGGCCAGCUUCUGUGCCACCUAGGUUGACACUAGGAAGCCACUGGUCUUGAGUGUUUACACUGGCCUGGAAGAAAUGGAAAGGAGCUCCAUGGAUAGGAACUCACAGUAUCAGAGCAGAGUGGUCAUUAACAGCUUCCAUCUAGAAAUGAAGUCCUAGAAAGGAAGCCUCGGAGAGGAGUCCUGGAGGACGUGGGAUUUGCGUUGUUCAUUUAAGUGGAACCAAGUACAAAUGAGACUGGAUCGGUUGAGCUCAGCCUCAGCCUCUGUGACCAUGCAGAGAUGGACACUGUGAAUGCUGGCGUUCUCCCAGCCAUUAGGAAGGGGAGAGCUGCGCUUUCUGUUAGACCUCAAGGCUGCACUUUCCCCACCACAGGGCCCAGCCAGCACCAGGUGGGGAGAAGGCUUUGAGGACAUGAGUCCAGUUUCUGAUCCAGAAAUAGGCCAGAGCCCCAGCGGGAAAAUACCUGUUGGUUAAAGAUAGGCCUGCACAGCCCCGUGCCUGUGUGAAUUUCCUCCUGUGUGCUCCAGACGCAGCAUAGAAUGAGGAAGCUCGAGUUUUGAUUGCGCGGCACUCUUGAUCUGGAAGAGCUCUGUUCAUUUCUGCAGGGCCAGCUGAAUUCAUUCCUUUUCGUAAGUGUAUUCUGCAUGAAUCAGAUUAAUAAUAACUUUAAAACCUGAGACCCACAGUGUUUUGCGAGCUGGAAGCCUGUCCUCCAUUUCUGUGGCUCUACGAGGUUCCCUCCCUUGGCUGUGGCCCUGGAGGAAGGUGUCCUUUGUUCCACCUCCGUGUUCUGCUCUCUGUCCUUUGCAGGAGAUGUUCUAGGGGACUCCCUGGGUCUCUCACUGUCACCACCCCUGUCCUGGCACUACGUGUUGGCAGCAGCCAGCAUCACAAGGGCACCUCUGCUUUUCCUUUGCUAGUUCCCAGCACUACGGGGGACACCCAGGCCCCGGCUCAGGCUGCCCAGCGCUGAGCAGAGUCCAAGGUGCGUGGACUGGGUGGAGAGCUGCAGUGGCUAAGUCAAGAGGGUGCUGUGUUGGUGGAACAAAUCACACCUGUCUUUACCAAAUGUGAGAGCUGAAACACGGAUCCCCAGGAUCAGGGAGUCGGCUGGUAGAUGCUAGUAAUCAGCAGGUGGGGGAAGGGACAGAGAGGAUGGAACAGUUAAAUAGGAGCAGUGAGUUCGAGCACCACAGCACAAUAAGACAGCUCCAAGGGGAGAUUUUCAGGUUCCCAGCACAAAAGAAAAGAACAUCCCAGGUGAGUAAAAUGUCAGUUAUUCUAAUGGGUCGUUACUCAUUGAAUACAUGUGUGAAAAUAUCACAUGAAACUCCAUAAAUAUGUCUAAUUGUGAUGUAUAAGUGAGACAAAAUUUUUAAAGUUAAAAAUAAAAAAGAGAAUUUUUCUUUAAUUUCCUUGGGAAGUGAGGGGCAUGGCCUAGGAAGGAGGGAGUUUAUGUCAACUGUUAACAACCACUCAGCAUAUUUGUGGCAAUUAAGUGAGGAGCACAGAAAACCGUCAUUUGGGUCAGGUGGGCAGAGUGAAACCCUGUCCAGCUGAGCUUUUCACAAGGAGAAGGUGGUACCCAGACAGCAGGCCCAAGGGCUGCCUUUGGCCUGCAGCCAUGGAGGGCGAGGAGGUCAGGCUGCAUGGAGGAGAUGGGACAGCAAAUCCAGUGCGCCCAGGGCCACCGCUCAGUGUCUUUCAUGAAGCCAAUGCGGAAACUGCCCAUCACCCACAGUGAAGGCUGCUUCAGGCCUGGUGCAUCCCAUUUAUUAUGUCACCUGGACAUAGAUUGUCACUCCGGGGAGCGUGUCCCGCUGAAAGCAGUCCUCUGCGUGGGGCAUGGGUCACACUCACCAAAUAGUCUCGUGAUACAUGUGGGGCCUUAGUUGGAGGCUGGAGAGAAGUAGGAGCCCAGACUGCAAGCGAAUGCCUGUGCCAGGAUCAUCAGCAAAAUGCCUGCUCCACACCCCCCUGGUGCCCUGGUGCAGCCACUGCCUGGAGCUGGGACCUUCCCUGAAGCUGCAGCAGCAUGCAAGGCCUCCUUCCCAGCCCUCCAGGUCAACACGGGCACAGUGAACCCACUCCUCCUGCCCUGCAAAACCAGCUCAGCACAUGCUGUUAAUCACACUGCAAUGAAAUGACGCCCAGGAUCAAGUUGCAAGGGAUUAGUAUAGAGGACAUUGUUUUCAGCUUCCAGCCUCUGCACACUGCAGGGACACUGGGAAGCCAGCAUAGCUCUGGUCUGCCGAAAUCAGAGUACAGACGCAUUGACUUGCAUAGAAGACCAAAACUGCUGGUGGUGGGUUGUGGGGCAUCUGUGUUUCUAUGCAUGUUUGGCAUCUUGUGUGAUGGCGCUAUCUCCCCACGUCCUGGGAGGGCUUUCCUGGUUCCUGCGCCUGGCAGUGGUGGCGGUGGGGUGGGUUCUGUGAGGAGGUAGAUUGCCCACACCCCCUGCACCCCUUGCAGACCCAGGUGGCAGCCCUGUGAUCACCAUUGCUGGCGUGGGAAGGCAACCCUGCAAACUGGCUUCAGGGCUUCAUUUCAUUCUCCUGCCACACAGUUAGGGCUUGAGUGAUUUUGUUUUUUAAGACACCGAAGCUGAAGGAAGAGUGUAUAACAAUUCUAGGGCAAGUGACCCACAGGAAAACAAUGAAAGGCAAGUAAAUGAUCUGAGUUAAUUCAGGAGGGACAAUUCCAAAGCAGAGCAAAAUGAGAAGCCCUGGGAGUCCUUCUGGAAAUGUGUUAGAGAAAGCCAGACACGUGGGAGGAUGGGGUCAGAGUGUGGCUUCGCCACCCAUAACACGGGCAGAGAUGGACACGCCCAUCCCUCCAGUGGGGUGGAGAGCUCUCAGGGCUGAUAUUAAGGGUGUUCAGCCACAUUUUCAGUUGCAGAUGGGCAGGAUUUAGGGCCCCGGGAUGCUUACUUCAAUACUCCAACCUGCAGAAGCGACAAGAAUAUCUGAUGUUAAUGCUAAACUCACGGUGAGAGAACCAGAGAACCGCAGCUGUGCUCAGAACCAGCCAGUCUCUCGGCCAGGCCUGGUGGCUGCUCGACUGCUAGCUAUGAGUCCAGAGAGUCUGCUCUGCUGCCCACACAGGGAAAGUUACAUGUGACAUUCACCCCCGUGCCAGGAUCACCCCUCUGGCUGGCAUCUUCUCAUGCUGAGCCCACCCAUUGACUUUUCUAUCCUAGCACCUCAUGCGGGGCCCAAGUGCCCUGCUUUUUCUGCAGGUGCUGCCUCUUCACUAGGACUAAGGCCGUGAGGAAUGAAGGGGAACUAAGAUGUCUGUCCUGUCCUAGGACCUUGUCAGUCCAGUGCAGGGACAGACUUCAAAAGAGCAGAACUGAGCCCUGUAUGCCUGCUGGGCUCCAGUGGCUGGAAAUGCAAGAAAGGAACCUUGAGCCAGAAGAAAUGGAUCAGUCAGAUGAUCGAGGCUGCACUUCUGGCUGGAUCCCCAGAGGCUGACUCUGCCAUGGACACCUCUCCUCCAGAGAGGAGUGGUCGGUGAGGAGGGGAGAGCAUCUGGAGGGUCUCUUGGUGCAGAUGAGUGUCUCCUGGAAUGGACUCCUGUCGCUCAUGUCCAGCGCCCCAGUGGCCAGGAACACACCCCUUUUGUGAGCCCCCAGAACACAGUGACAGGAGUUUCUAAUGUGCAGCACCAGUUGUCCCCAGAGCCUGGAUGGGACAUUGGGAGACAAAGGCACAGACUAGCUGUUGGUCCAUGCAGGGUGUCAGCAUGGGGAAGUGGGGAGCACCAUGAGGAGGAGCCCCGAGAGCAGACCCUGAUGGUGCUGCAGGGAGGAAACAGGGCUGCAGGAAAAUCAGACUCCCCCAAUCCAAUAGUUUAUUGAGCAUUUAUCACAUUCACAACAAGACAGGGGGGAGUUAAGUGGCGCGGUGCCUACCUGGCAAGGGUGAGGUCCUGGGUUUGAUUUCUGGUACCUCCCCAAAAAGACAGAGGGAGCUUGCCCGUGGCGUAGUGGGAAGCUGGAGGUAGCACCAGCACUGCAGAGAGCCGUACUGGGAAGAGCCCACCAGCACUGAGCAGAGGGCUGCACCGAGGAGCAGCUGGAGGCCUCUUCCUUUAUGCUGGGGGGAGUCUGACACAGUGUGUGCUGGUCUCACGUGGUGCACAAACACCAAGUGCCAACCCUAUAGUGACACAGAUAUGCUUUUCUUUACGGUUAAAGCAUGUAUUUUAGAAAAUACAUUUUUAUGAGUUUCCUGACAGGAUCCACAAGGUGAGGGUUGGGGCCCACAGGCCGAACGGUCACCACCUCACAGAGUCCCACAUGAGUCCUCACCGAGGCCCACUCGGGCAAGGUCAUCACAAGGGAACUUAGAGGGAGAAGGGAGCUCAGAGCCCGACAGGAGCACAAGACAGCUUCCGCCUGCUCACAUCAAACGGCCUCUCACAAAAUGAAAAACUAAAAAUAAAUUUAAAAGUAAGGCAUCAACCA